rnacentral:piRNA from 1 species
CUUUCCAUUUGAUCAUUUCUCUA